CACUCUUCAAGGAAGGCCCUUUCAACUUUACAAUCUGUUUCUUGACUAUCGCUUCAAAUGCCAUGUCUGGAGUAAACAACCCUGUCCUGAAGUAAUAAAUUAUUGUUAGCACCCUGGCAUGCGUUGCUGUUCUAACUAUGAAGCAGGCAACAAAAGAGCUGAGAGGACAGCAUUCCCGACAGCAACGUCACAAGAGACAAGGACCCAAAUCUAACAGAACCAGCAACCACAAGAAACCAGCAACCAACUGAUUGCCAUGUGAACUGGGUGACAAGAUGAAAGGAUUCUGGAUCUCUGCAAAACAUCAUGGAGAAGAAAUACCACAGCACCCUGAACAUUCACCUAGGACUAUUGUUUGCACCAUUACAUGUUUGAGUCUACUUAUUGUGGUGUUAUUAGCAGAAACAAUGGUACUGUGAAGAAGAGAGCUGACAUAAUGAAAAGCUGGCAUACCAAAGUUAAAUGGUAAGGAAACAAAUGUUGCAAAUUAGAAAGAUGAAGAUUCAUGUUAUGCAGUAGUUGCAUAUUUUGUAAACCUGCUGCAUGUGAUAACAUUUAAGGUGGAUUUGAAAGGAGAAGCUGUUGGAAAGGGUCAGAAUGUCAAUUUGUCUUGAUUGUUCCUUGAUGCUUAAAGCAGAGUAUUUAAGAAUGAUAUGAGUUCACAUGAGAAAUUUAUCAUUUUGCAAGUGGAAAUAAA
rnacentral:lncRNA from 1 species